AGAGGCGCCGGCUGCUCCGCGCCCGCCCGGCCGCCCGCCCGCCCCGCCGGGAGGGGCCGCGCGCAGGGCCCGCCGAGCGCCGGGACCAGAGGCUGCCGCGCGCCCGGGGGAGGAGAUGCUGCGCCGCCGCCGCCUGCACCCGGGGGCCGCGAGGGGCCGGGCCAGGCGCCGGGACAGACCCGGAGAGCGCGGCCUGGGCCGGAGGAAGGGUGGCCUUUCCCGCAGAGUUGCAGCGAGAGCACUGAAAGUUUUCGCCUGCAGCCCUUGCAGGGUGUCCUGCCCUCGAGGGGCCUCCGCACGGAUCCCCGCGGCUGAGUGGGGCGGAGACGAGCAGGUUGGCCACCUCCGGCCCCCACCCCCACGACCACGCCAGGCCGGGGAAGGGACCCCGGUGACUUCGCAUCCCAUGCACCACCCCCUUGACCCGUCCUUCCCUUUCACGGGGGACCUUGGACCGUGGAGGGCUCCGCGAACGCCUCUGGGACCUGAGACCGGAGAGUGGAUGGAGGUGGUUCUACAGAGCAGCUACUGCCUGCAAUGGGCCAGGCGCCCUGCAGCAAAGGAAAACAAAUGAGAUCCAGCCCGGUCUCCGUGGAAGAAGGAAAGCGUGAAACUUCUUGGGAAAACAAGACCCGCACACAAGAGCUGUGAUGACUUGAGGGUGUCAUGUCAACCUUGUCUCAUGUACCAGCUGAACUCAGUGACACGAGCAUCCUGACAGAUGGGAUGUUAUUACUGAACCACCGGGGAGGGUGCCCGGGGCUGACUGUGCUUCGUGUGCCGUGAGGACCCACUUGACCCGAGUGAAGGCAGCAAAAACACCUCGCGUUGGAACCCCAUGCCUGUGUCUGUUACUCCAGUGGUUCUCAAACUUCAGAGUCACCGUCUGAGUCACUGGGGGAUGGAGGGAAGGGGGUUAAAAACAUAGAAGGCCAGGCCCCACCCCCAGAGUUUCGGAUUCAGCAGGCCUGGGGCAUGGCCAGAGAAUCUGCGUUUCUAGCAAGUCCCUAGGUGAUGCUGAUGCUACCGGCUGGGAGAUCACACUUUGACAACACAGGUCUACUCCUGAGCCCGUGUUAACACAAAACUCACCCUCUCCUCUUCUGCUUCUGUGAAGGUGUGGCCUAAGGCACCUCAGUUUCAGAAUGGAAGCCAAAAGAUGGAAUCAACCCAAGUGUCCAUGAACAGAUGAAUGGCUAAGUAAAAUGUGAUAUAAAUACAUAUAUUCAUCUGUCAUAUAUAUAUAUAUGGUGGAAUAUAUAUAUGAUGGAAUAUUAUUCAGCCAUAAAAAGGGAUGAAAUGCUGAUACCUGUUACAACAUGGAUGAAUCUUGAAAACAUUAUGUUAAAUGAAAGAAGUCAGUUACAUAAAGCCACGUGUUGCAUGAUUUCAUUUAUGAAAUGUCUGGAAUAGUGACAGAAAGCAGAUUGGUUGUCGCCAGAAGCCGGAGUAGGAAGGAACGAGGAGUGACUGCUUAUUGGGUUUCUGUUUGGAAUGAUGAACUUCUAAACCUAGACAGUGGUGAUAGCUGCACAACAUUGUGAACCUACUUACUGGGUACCACUGAAUUAUACACUUUGAAAUGAUUAAAAUGGUCAAUAUUAUGUGUAUCUACCAUAAUAAUAAAUUAAAAGAGUUACUGGAGUGCUGUUCUAACUCAAAUUGUGGGAGCCAGUUGAAAAGUUUACAGGAUUAAGAUUGGAAAUGCAAAGGGCCUAAUACCAGUGGGUCUUAGCCUUAUUGAAUGGGGGGGAAAAAAUCACCUGGGGACUUUUUGUAUGAUACCCUUGUCUUAGCCACACGUGAGAACAAUUAAAUUGAAAUCUCUGGAAGUGAGGCCUAGGCAUCAGACAUUUUAAAAUUCAGCCCCAGAUGAUUCUAAUGUACAACUAGGAUUGAGGACACUGGCCUAAAAUCUUGAGGUUCAAAUGGACGCAGACCUAUGUGCAAACUGACUUGGACUUCAUCAUAGACAAUGAACCUCUCAUCUUCUCCCAAAUUUGCUUGGAUGUAGAGAGUAGAAUGAAGAGACUUUGGAAUCAGUUUGAAUAUCAUCUCCACUACCAACUAGCUGUGUGACCGUGAGCAAACCAUAACCUCUCUGAGCAUUGUUUUUGUCAAUGGAGAGUAGAAGUCUGUGUUCUCUGGAAAGAAUACUAUUUCAGUAUUGUAGGAAACAGGUCAGUUUCCUAGUUCUAACAGUGUCAGACGCUGUUUUGUCAUCAUGCAUCUCUGCCUGUCCUAGACUGAGAGGGAGACACAGUGCCAUAUCCUAUAUAAUUAAAGGCCAGUAUGCAAAUUGUCCCCUCUACCUUAGUGUUCGACCAGGGGGCGGGCCACCCGGCCAACCGCCCAUGGCCCCUCCCGCUGGCGGGCCCAGCCAGACCCCACCUGUGCACAAAUUCGUGCACCAGGCCUUUAGUUUAUGUGAAAACCCUAACCCUGUAGUAUCUUGUAUCAUGAAUUCAGUUUUAUCCCCACACCUGAGAGGAGGGGCAUGUGUAGGUUGGGAAUGAGUGAUCAUGCCUCCUGAAUCUGUAAUCUGGAAGCGGAGGAGAUUGUGAGCCUGAUAGAAAUCAUUUUGCCUCAUGCUCAGACUUUCUUUUGUGUAUCAAGCUUUAUAACGAUGUCAAUAUACUUAAAGAUAAAAACUGAUAAAAUUUAUGCACAAAUUCCUGACAGUAAAUAAAAUCAUUUGGAUAUU